rnacentral:rRNA from 1 species
UACGAAGGGGGCUAGCGUUGCUCGGAAUGACUGGGCGUAAAGAGCUCGUAGGCGGUCUGUCGAGUCUGCUGUGAAAACCUGAGGCUCAACCUCAGGCCUGCAGUCGAUACGGGCGGACUUGAGUACUGCAGGGGAGACUGGAAUUCCUGGUGUAGCGGUGAAAUGCGCAGAUAUCAGGAGGAACACCGGUGGCGAAGGCGGGUCUCUGGGCAGUAACUGACGCUGAGGAGCGAAAGCGUGGGGAGCGAACAGG